UGUCUAGUAUAAGCAUUUAUACAGUGAAACUGCGAAUGGCUCAUUAAAUCAGUUAUCGUUUAUUUGAUAGUUCCUUUACUACAUGGUAUAACUGUGGUAAUUCUAGAGCUAAUACAUGCUUAAAAUCUCGACCCUUUGGAAGAGAUGUAUUUAUUAGAUAAAAAAUCAAUGUCUUCGGACUCUUUGAUGAUUCAUAAUAACUUUUCGAAUCGCAUGGCCUUGUGCUGGCGAUGGUUCAUUCAAAUUUCUGCCCUAUCAACUUUCGAUGGUAGGAUAGUGGCCUACCAUGGUUUCAACGGGUAACGGGGAAUAAGGGUUCGAUUCCGGAGAGGGAGCCUGAGAAACGGCUACCACAUCCAAGGAAGGCAGCAGGCGCGCAAAUUACCCAAUCCUAAUUCAGGGAGGUAGUGACAAUAAAUAACGAUACAGGGCCCAUUCGGGUCUUGUAAUUGGAAUGAGUACAAUGUAAAUACCUUAACGAGGAACAAUUGGAGGGCAAGUCUGGUGCCAGCAGCCGCGGUAAUUCCAGCUCCAAUAGCGUAUAUUAAAGUUGUUGCAGUUAAAAAGCUCGUAGUUGAACUUUGGGCCCGGUUGGCCGGUCCGAUUUUUUCGUGUACUGGAUUUCCAACGGGGCCUUUCCUUCUGGCUAACCUUGAGUCCUUGUGGCUCUUGGCGAACCAGGACUUUUACUUUGAAAAAAUUAGAGUGUUCAAAGCAGGCGUAUUGCUCGAAUAUAUUAGCAUGGAAUAAUAGAAUAGGACGUUUGGUUCUAUUUUGUUGGUUUCUAGGACCAUCGUAAUGAUUAAUAGGGACGGUCGGGGGCAUCAGUAUUCAAUUGUCAGAGGUGAAAUUCUUGGAUUUAUUGAAGACUAACUACUGCGAAAGCAUUUGCCAAGGACGUUUUCAUUAAUCAAGAACGAAAGUUAGGGGAUCGAAGAUGAUCAGAUACCGUCGUAGUCUUAACCAUAAACUAUGCCGACUAGGGAUCGGGUGGUGUUUUUUUAAUGACCCACUCGGCACCUUACGAGAAAUCAAAGUCUUUGGGUCUGGGG
rnacentral:rRNA from 1 species